CCUACGGGGCGCUGCAGUGAGGAAUAUUGGUCAAUGGACGAGAGUCUGAACCAGCCAAGUAGCGUGAAGGAUGACUGCCCUAUGGGUUGUAAACUUCUUUUAUAUGGGAAUAAAAUGUUCCACGUGUGGGAUUUUGUAUGUACCAUAUGAAUAAGGAUCGGCUAACUCCGUGCCAGCAGCCGCGGUAAUACGGAGGAUCCGAGCGUUAUCCGGAUUUAUUGGGUUUAAAGGGAGCGUAGGUGGAUUGUUAAGUCAGUUGUGAAAGUUUGCGGCUCAACCGUAAAAUUGCAGUUGAAACUGGCAGUCUUGAGUACAGUAGAGGUGGGCGGAAUUCGUGGUGUAGCGGUGAAAUGCUGAGAUAUCACGAAGAACUCCGAUUGCGAAGGCAGUUCACUGGACUGCAACUGACACUGAGGCUCGAAAGUGUGGGUAUCAAACAGGAUUAGAUACCCCUGUAGUC
rnacentral:rRNA from 1 species